GUGGGGAAUUUUGGACAAUGGGCGCAAGCCUGAUCCAGCAAUGCCGCGUGCAGGAAGAAGGCCUUCGGGUUGCAAACUGCUUUUGUACGGAACGAAACGGUCCUGGUUAAUACCUGGGGCUAAUGACGGUACCGUAAGAAUAAGCACCGGCUAACUACGUGCCAGCAGCCGCGGUAAUACGUAGGGUGCGAGCGUUAAUCGGAAUUACUGGGCGUAAAGCGUGCGCAGGCGGUGCUGUAAGACAGGCGUGAAAUCCCCGGGCUCAACCUGGGAAUUGCGCUUGUGACUGCAGUGCUGGAGUACGGCAGAGGGGGAUGGAAUUCCGCGUGUAGCAGUGAAAUGCGUAGAUAUGCGGAGGAACACCGAUGGCGAAGGCAGUCCCCUGGGCCUGUACUGACGCUCAUGCACGAAAGCGUGGGGAGCAAACAGGAUUAGAUACCCGGGUAGUCC
rnacentral:rRNA from 1 species